CGACCCCAGGUCAGGCGGGAUCACCCGCUGAGUUUAAGCAUAUCAAUAAGCGGAGGAAAAGAAACUAACAAGGAUUCCCUUAGUAACGUCGAGCAAACCGGGAAGAGCCCAGCUUGAAAAUCGGACGUCUUUGGCGUUUGAAUUGUAGUCUGGAGAAGCGUCCUCAACGAUGGACCGGGCCCAAGUUCCCUGGAAAGGGGUGCCAGAGAGGGUGAGAGACCCGUCGUGCCCGGACCCUGUCGCACCACGAGGCUCUGUCUACGAGUUGGGUUGUUUGGGAAUGCAACCCCAAUCGGGCGGUAAAUUCCGUCCAAGGCUAAAUAUGGGCGAGAGACCGAUGGCGAACAAGUACCGCGAGGUAAAGAUGAAAAGGACUUUGAAAAGAAAGUCAAAGAGUGCUUGAAAUUGUCGAGGGGGAAGCGGAUGGGGGCCGGUGAUUCAUCCCGGUCGGAUGCGGAACGAAGCAAUCCGGUCCGCUGAUCGAUUCGGGCCAUGGACCAACGCGAAUUAAGGUGGUGACCUAAGCCUGGGCUUUUAUUACGCUCGCGGAGACGUUGCUGCCUUAAUCAUGGUCUGCAGCACGCGCGUCACGGCGUGCCUCGGCAUCUGCAUGCUCAGGGCGUCGGCCUGUGGGCUCCCCAUUCGACCAUUCUUGAAACAUGGACCAAGGAGUCUGACAUGUGUGCAAAUUAACGGGUGAGUAAACCCGUAAGGCGCAAGGAAGCUGAUUGGCUGGAUCCCUGACGGGUGCAUAACCGACCGACCUUGAUCUUCUGAGAAGGGUUCCAGUGUGAGCCUGCCUGUCGGGACCCGAAAGAUGGUGAACUAUGCCUGAGCGUGGCAAAGCCAGAGGAAACUCCGGUGGAGGCCCGCAGCGAUACUGACGUGCAAAUCGUUCGUCUGACUUGGCUAUAGGGGAGAAAGACUAAUCCAACCAUCUAGUAGCUGGUUCCCUCAGAAGUUUCCCUCAGGAUAGUUGGAGCUCGGAAACGAGUUCAAUCGGGUAAAGCCAAUGAUUAGAGGCAUCGAGGACGGAAUGUCCUCGACCUAUUCUCAAACUUUAAAUAGGUAGGACGGGGUGACUGCUUU
rnacentral:ncRNA from 1 species